rnacentral:rRNA from 1 species
GACGAACGCUGGCGGCGUGCCUAAUACAUGCAAGUCGAACGCAGUGGGGACGGGUGAGUAACACGUGGGUAACCUCCCAUCAGAGGGGAUAACACUUGGAAACAGGUGCUAAACCGCUCCUGCUGGAUGGACCCGCGGUGCAUUAGCUAGUUGGUGAGGUAACGGCUCACCAAGGCCACGAUGAAGAGCGGACCGGAGAGGGGGAUCGGCCAAACUGGGACUGAGAAACGGCCCAGACUGCUACGGGAGGAAGCAGGAGGGAAUAGUCGGCAAUGGACGAAAGUCUGAACGAGCAAAGCCGCGUGAGUGAAGAAGGUUUGCGGAUCGUAAAACUGUGUUGUUAGAGAAGCGGUAUCUAACCAGAAAGCCACGGCUAACGACGUGCCAGCAGCCGCGGUAAUUC